UCCUGACUGCUCUCGGGUAGGAGGGAUGUAUUUAUUAGAUUCAAAAGCCAAUGCCUUCUUUCGGGGAGGAAAUUUUUAUAUGGUGAAUCAUGAUAACUUUACGAAUCGCAUGGUCUUGUACCGGCGAUAGUUCAUUCAAAUAUCUGCCCUAUCAACUUUCGAUGGUAGUAUAGAGGACUACCAUGGUGGUAACGGGUAACGGAGAAUCAGGGUUUGAUUCCGGAGAAGGAGCCUGAGAAACGGCUACUACUUCCAAGGAAGGCAGCAGGCGCGCAAAUUACCCAAUCCCGACACGGGGAGGUAGUGACAAAAAAUAACAAUACCGGUCUUAUUUAAGUCUGGUAAUUGGAAUGAGUACAAUCUAAAACCUUUAACGAGUAUCAAUUGGAGGGCAAGUCUGGUGCCAGCAGCCGCGGUAAUUCCAGCUCCAAUAGCAUAUAUUAAAGUUGUUGCAGUUAAAAAGCUCGUAGUUGGAUUUUGAUGUAACAUAUGAUGACCCGCCUGUAUAGGUGUGUUGUUGUUAUAUGUUCAUCUCCUUACUAGACUUUCAUGAAUGUCAUUUGUUUGGUGUUCAUUGUAUUUCGAUUCGUCGAGGUGCGUGGUAGGAGGACCUAUUGGGUUCGAGAUUGUGGAUGAAUCUCUUCGGAGGUUGGUUCUGCUUGGAUUCAGUAACCUUUUACUAGAAAUCUAGUUCAUUUACUUUGAGUAAAUUAGAGUGUUCAAGGCAAGCAAACUUGUUUCUGCAAUGAAUACUAUUAGCAUGGGAUAAUGGAACAGGACACGUAUUCUAGUUUUCCGUUGGUUUCUAGAAUUUUUGUGCCUUUCGGGGUACGUAGUGUAAUGAUUAAAAGGGACAGUUGGGGGCAUUCGUAUUUCAUUGUCAGAGGUGAAAUUCUUGGAUUUAUGAAAGACGAACUUCUGCGAAAGCAUUUGUCAAAGAUGUUUUCAUUAAUCAAGAACGAAAGUUAGGGGAUCGAAGACGAUCAGAUACCGUCGUAGUCUUAACCAUAAACUAUGCCGACCAGGGAUUGGAAGAUGUCUUAUCCAGUGUUACCCGCUGGAAAACUCCUUCAGUACCUUACGAGAAAUCAUAAGUCUUUGGGUUCUGGGGGGAGUAUGGUCGCAAGGCUGAAACUUAAAGGAAUUGACGGAAGGGCACCACCAGGAGUGGAGCCUGCGGCUUAAUUUGACCCAACACGGGAAAACUCACCAGGUCCAGACACAGUUAGGAUUGACAGAUUGAGAGCUCUUUCUUGAUUCUGUGGGUGGUGGUGCAUGGCCGUUCUUAGUUGGUGGAGUGAUUUGUCUGGUUAAUUCCGAUAACGAACGAGACCUCAGCCUGCUAAUUAGUGAUGCAAAUGAUUACAU
rnacentral:rRNA from 1 species